GAAAGCCAAAAUUCUAAUCCAACCAGUGUGGGGUGGGGUGGGGGAGCUGGGGGGAGAUUCUGGGUCAUGAGAAAGAGAAGGAAUGCAGUAGAGCAAAAUUCAAAUACUUAAGAACAAAAUUCAAAAUCCCCCCUGCAUACAAAAGCCAAAAUUCUAAUCCAACCAGUGGGGGGGAAGCUGGGGGGAGAUUCUGGGUCAUGAGAAAGAGAAGGACUGCAGGAGUAGAGCAGCUCCAAUUCACUGAAAAGAUAAUCACCAUAUGAAUCUAUUUUUUUGGGUCCCUACUGGUGGAACACCUCCCCCAGUCCCAUCCCAACCCUCUACCAGUUAACCCCAGCCUUAUAGGCUACUCUAACCAUGUGAAUCUAUUUUUUGUUUAUAUUGAGCAAAAAAUAACUUCUUCACCAAAUAAAUAAAUAAAUAAAACAUACUUUUGACUGCAUCACAAAUCCCUCAAUGAGGAGGGGCCAAUACAUAACAGUGGGAUAAAAUUAGCCCCAUGUCUGUGUAUAACACAGCUGAACCAAUAAAUAGGCCAGGCAUUACAGAAUAAAUGGACCAUAGUAGAGAACACUGAUGUUCAAAACACACUCCAACUUCAAAC
rnacentral:lncRNA from 1 species